UACGUAGGGUGCAAGCGUUAAUCGGAAUUACUGGGCGUAAAGCGUGCGCAGGCGGUGAUGUAAGACAGGUGUGAAAUCCCCGGGCUUAACCUGGGAACUGCAUUUGUGACUGCAAGGCUUGAGUGCGGCAGAGGAGACUGGAAUUCCCGGUGUAGCAGUGAAAUGCGUAGAUAUCGGGAGGAAUACCGAUGGCGAAGGCAGGUCUCUGGGCUGACACUGACGCUCAUGCACGAAAGCGUGGGGAGCAAACAGG
rnacentral:rRNA from 1 species